GGCAGGGUAGCUCAGUUGGUAGAGCACUGGAAGCGCACAGUUGUCUCCGGUUCAAGUCCGGACCCUGCCC
rnacentral:tRNA from 1 species